UGGCCAAAGUAAGGAAAUGUCACUCAGUGACCUCAGAGGCCAGUUCCCAGAACAAGGCCAAUGGGAAUGAGAUGGGUCUGUGGUGAUGCAGGGACCCUCUAGGACAGUGCUGAGGGCCAAGCCUGGUGUCUCCCACUGCGAAAGUGACCACAGGGGCUUGGAGGAGAGUAUGCUGAUCGGGAGGUGUUACCACCGCCUGCCAUAUGCGCCCGAAAUUCCACCACUGAUGCUUUUCCUUUGGCUUUCAGCUUUGAGCCCUGAAGGCCCUUGGAUCCCAGACAUUCUCCCCAAGGCCUGGGAGUCCAUACUUACUUGACCAAGCCGGCCGUCUUGCCCUGGGACACAGCCUUUUCAUACUGCUUCUUGGCAACUUCCUUCUCCUUGACAUUCCCAGGGUAGG
rnacentral:lncRNA from 1 species